rnacentral:rRNA from 1 species
GACGAACGCUGGCGGCGUGCUUAACACAUGCAAGUCGAACGGAAAGGCCCUGCUUUUGUGGGGUGCUCGAGUGGCGAACGGGUGAGUAACACGUGAGUAACCUGCCCUUGACUUUGGGAUAACUUCAGGAAACUGGGGCUAAUACCGGAUAGGAGCUCCUGCUGCAUGGUGGGCGUUGGAAAGUUUCGGCGGUUGGGGAUGGACUCGCGGCUUAUCAGCUUGUUGGUGGGGUAGUGGCUUACCAAGGCUUUGACGGGUAGCCGGCCUGGGAGGGGGACCGGCCACAUUGGGACUGAGAUACGGCCCAGACUCGAACGGGAGGCAACGGUGGAGAAUAUUACACAGUGGGCGGGAGCCUGAUGUAGCAACGCCGCGUGCGGGAUGACGGCCUUGGGGUUGUAAACCGCUGUCGCCUGUGACGAGGCGUGAGUGACGGUAAUGGGUAAAGAAGCACCGGCUAACUACGUG